UACGGAGGAGGCAAGCGUUAUCCGGAAUUAUUGGGCGUAAAGCGUCCGCAGGUGGCACCUCAAGUCUGCUGUCAAAGACCGGGGCUUAACCCCAGAAAGGCAGUGGAAACUGAAGCGCUAGAGUGCAGUAGGGGUAGAGGGAAUUCCCGGUGUAGCGGUGGAAUGCGUAGAGAUCCGGAAGAACACCGGUGGCGAAGGCGGCCUGCUGGGAUCUUGCUGACGCUGAGGCGCGACAGCGUGGGGAGCAAACAGG
rnacentral:rRNA from 1 species